rnacentral:lncRNA from 1 species
UUCCAAGUGUUCCGCAAUGGUCGUCCGCCUGGGGCAGAAAGGCGGUAGGCUCCAUUUUGUAAAUUUUCUAGUACCCGGAAUGGGCCGUCCCAUUUCGCCGCAAGCUUUCCGUGCGCUUGCUCCUUUCUAGCAUCUCCGGUGUUUCUCCACACUAGAUCUCCCUCCUGGAAACUCCUCGGUCGCACCUUAGUGUUAUACCGUCGCUCCACUAAACGCCGACAGGCCUCCGCGUGUAGCACAGCGCGAUCCCUACGUUCCUCU